GAUGGACGCUGGCGGAGUGAUUAAUACAUGCAAGUCGAGCGAACAGACGAGGAGCUUGCUCCUCUGACGUUAGCGGCGGACGGGUGAGUAACACGUGGAUAACCUACCUAUAAGACUGGGAUAACUUCGGGAAACCGGAGCUAAUACCGGAUAAUAUAUUGAACCGCAUGGUUCAAUAGUGAAAGACGGUUUUGCUGUCACUUAUAGAUGGAUCCGCGCCGCAUUAGCUAGUUGGUAAGGUAACGGCUUACCAAGGCAACGAUGCGUAGCCGACCUGAGAGGGUGAUCGGCCACACUGGAACUGAGACACGGUCCAGAAUCCUACGGGAGGAAGCAGUAGGGAAUCUUCCGCAAUGGGCGAAAGCUUGACGGAGCAACGCCGCGUGAGUGAUGAAGGGAUUCGGAUCGUAAAACUCUGUUAUUAGGGAAGAACAAAUGGGUAAGUAACUAUGCACGUCUUGACGGUACCUAAUCAGAAAGCCACGGCUAACUACGUG
rnacentral:rRNA from 1 species